rnacentral:misc_RNA from 1 species
CUCUCUCUCUCUCUCUCUCAUUGUGUAUAUAUAAUAUAGUCCAAUCUUUUUCCUUGCCUGCUUCCUUCACAGCCUGUCAAGCUUGAAUUAUUAAUUAGACCAUGAUUAUAAUUUUUUAGAAACAGGCUUGUUUUGUUGUUUCUCUAAGUAAAAAGAGAGAGAGAGAGAUAAAAGACUAUUCUGGGUUGUCAAAGAAAGAGAUAUUCAUUGCUGAAGUGCUAGUCAUCUAUCUAUCUCUAUCUACAAAUUCACCACAAAUAUUGUACAAUUGCUUGGGUUGCUCCGUCCAUUUUUCUCUAAAAACAUGAGUUAUGGACGCUCAUGAGGAAGUAAUUGGCUUCUUUUUCUUUCAGCUCUGAUUCAUAAUUGGACUGGCUUUUAGCAUGAAUAAGGAGGAAGAUGUUCAAUGAGCCUUUCCGGAGAGAUUCGAGAUCUGAUUACCCUUUUAUGCAGAGAUGGGAACUAAACUUGAACAUGCCUUCAAUCUUCCAGCAUCUUCACCAAAUAGCAAUAGCUCUAGUGUUCAUUGUGUGGAUGAACUGGACUAUUUGCAAACUAGAGGGUUGAAUAUUAGCUUCCAAAUUAUUGGACUGGACAAGAAUCGAAGCUCUGUUAAUGACAGAAUGCCCCAAAAACACAACGUAGAUUUCAUCAAAAAGACAAUGCAGAUGCAUGAAGAUACAUUCAAACAACAGGUAAUUCAUCAAGAUUUUAUUGUAAUUUAAUUCAGGAAUCUAACAAAGAAACUUAGGAACUUGAAGAAGCUGAUGCUGAAACUUGCAGGUGAGGGAGCUCCACAGGCUAUACAGUAUACAGAAGAUGUUAAUGGAUGAGCUGAACAAAGAAAUUAAACAGAAUAAGAAGUACAGGAGUCCCAUGAGUAGUAGUUCAGAUAUUAAUGUUCAAUCUCAAUUCAUUAACCAGCAUAAUCCCACAACACAAACUAGUUAUCUGUAUCGUUUUAACUUUCGAGGCUUGAGCCCAAGGGAAAGAAGCAGUAUUUGCUCAGGUGAGACCAGAAGAAUGACUACAAGGGGAUUUGAUCUUGAGAGGCCUGCUGCAGAAGAAGACAUAUCAACUGCUGUUAGUACUGCCAUUGAUGAUCACAGGGCAGCAGGGGCUAGCUCUUUCAUCCCCUUGAAAGGGAACGAUAAAAUGAGCAUCGAUGGCUCGGACGAAGAAAGUGAAGUGGAGCUAACAUUAAGCAUUGGAGGCAGCAGUACCAGCACCAGCAGCAAGAAGAUGAUCAUGUCCACAAAUAAAGAACUGGGAUUCUCUGACCAAAUAAACAAGCGUACGAAGGAGCUUGAUUCUCCUGCAUCAAUUAAGUCCGAAAAAGGAGAAGAUUGCAGCACCCCAACAACCCCCAUGAGCAGCUAUAGUUCGACGUUUGAUCAUGAAAGAAAACAACCACAUUGGCUUUUCCAAGGUUUAAGCUUGAACAGAACUACUUGAACUUUAAUUUCUGACUUGUAUCAGUGUAAUAUCCUCAUUUUUUUUUUAUAUUUUGAUGACUCAUAGUUGCCAAAUUAAUCUUAUAAAUGGAUCAUCGAGGAGUACAUAGUGUGAAUAGCACAUGUACAAAACUCUGUUCAACUAUUUUUGCUGUCCACUUUGUUCCACUGCCUGUAUCGUUUCUG